AGAUGCUCUCCUAUGGCAGAACAGGAAGAAAGCAAACACUCCCUCAGAGUUAAUCAGGAACCAGGAAAGAAAAUCAACACAGAAGAUAUGACCAUGGACUGUGUACCACUGCUGUCCACCAGCUACUCAGCAUACAUGUACUGUAAAUUCAAGACGUGGAUGUUACUCAAAGAAGCAAGUGUGAUGU